rnacentral:rRNA from 1 species
UACGGAGGAUCCAAGCGUUAUCCGGAAUCAUUGGGUUUAAAGGGUCCGUAGGCGGCCCAGUAAGUCGGUGGUGAAAUCUCCCGGCUCAACCGGGAAAUUGCCAUUGAUACUGCUGGGCUUGAAUUAUUGGGAAGUAACUAGAAUAUGUAGUGUAGCGGUGAAAUGCUUAGAUAUUACAUGGAAUACCGAUUGCGAAGGCAGGUUACUAUCAAUAUAUUGACGCUGAUGGACGAAAGCGUGGGUAGCGAACAGG